UAUUUUUCAGACUUACAUUUCCUGUCAAAUUAAUUUUGUGUGAAAAUAAGGAAAGGAUUUGCAGCAGUAAUAAUCAACACAUCUCAUUGCGGCUAACUUUUGACAACAUUAAGUAGACGUCGCCGUAAGAAGUUUGAACAUGUAUUAAACUGAAUAGUUUUCCCUCGAAAUUCUUAAAAGAUGGAACGGCGUAAAGGUAUGAGAGAAGCAAACAAGGAUCUGCCUAUUUCUCAUGGAGAUUUCUGUGAUCAGAACAGUUUACCAAAUUCUGAAAUGCAUGAAAGAAACCGAAACGAUCUAAAACAUGAUAGAAUUAAUAUUAUUGUUUUGCUUUUACUAUAUGUUCUUCAAGGUAUACCAUUGGGUCUUGGUGGCAGUCUGCCAAUGAUACUACAGAAUAGAAAAGUUAGCUAUAAAGAUCAAGCUGUUUUCAGUCUUGUCAACUGGCCCUUUAGUCUGAAAUUAUUAUGGGCCCCUAUAGUUGAUUCUCUAUAUUGGAGGCGUUUGGGACGCCGGAAAACAUGGCUCAUACCUACUCAGUAUCUUAUUGGAUUUUUCAUGAUAAUUUUAUCAUCUUCUGCAUCAUCACUACUUGGAAGUGAAACAGAUCCUCCUAAUGUAAUGCUACUAACUGUAAUUUUUUUCUGCAUGAAUUUCCUUGCAGCAACUCAAGAUAUUGCUGUAGAUGGUUGGGCAUUGACAAUGCUAUCCAGGCAAAAUGUAGGUUAUGCAUCCACUUGUAAUUCUGUUGGUCAAACUGCAGGAUAUUUUUUAGGAAAUGUUGUAUUUUUAGCUUUGGAAUCUCCAGACUUUUGUAACAAAUAUUUGAGAUCUGUACCUCAACCAGAAGGCCUUGUUACGCUUUCUGGUUUUUUAAAGUUUUGGGGAUUUGUUUUCUUUAUUAUGACAUCCCUGGUUUUAAUUAUCAAGAAAGAGAAAGAAGAAAGAAUACCAGAAACAUUUGGAAUUAAAGGCACAUACAGCAUGCUGUAUCGGAUUCUGUGCCUUCGUAAUGUUUGGUUGGUAGUGUCAUUUCUUUUAACAUGUAAGGUUGCCUUUGCUGCAACAGAUUCAGUUACUGGACUGAAGCUUAUUGAAGCAGGUGUCCACAAAGAGCAUUUGGCACUAUUAGCUGUUCCAAUGGUUCCGCUUCAAAUAUUGCUUCCGCUUUUAAUUAGCCGAUAUACAGCGGGACCUAAACCACUUUCUGUCUUUUUGACUACUUAUCCAUUUAGGUUGAUGUUUGGUCUGUUGUUUGCCUUUUUGGUAUGGUGGACACAUCAAGUUAAACUUGAAACAGGAGAUUUUCCUGUGUACUAUUAUGCAGUUAUCAUUAUAAGUUAUGCCUUACAUCAGGUUACUGUAUAUAGUAUUUUUGUAGCACUGAUGGCUUUUUUUGCAAAAGUGAGUGAUCCAUCCAUUGGUGGAACUUAUAUGACAUUGUUGAAUACAAUCUGCAACCUUGGAGGAAAUUGGCCCAGUACAUUAGCCUUAUGGAUGGUUGAUCCUCUUAGUACAAAGAAAUGUGAAAACUCAUUAUACAGCUGUGAUACUAAAGAAUUAGCUUCAAAAUGUACUGAAGCUGGUCAUAAAUGUAUUACUGUGAUAGACGGCUAUUACAUAGAAACAGUUAUUUGUUUCAUAAUAGGACUUUUAUGGUUAAGGUGGGGUCGAAGCACCAUUCGUAGAUUACAACAUUUACCAUUAUCUGCAUGGAAAUGCCCUAGGUAGCAUUUUUGCAAAUGGACGAAGGCUGUCUGAGCCUGAAGAUUAAAUACUUACUUCACACCAUCUUAUAUGGUGAUUCAGUGCAGAAAGUAUGAAUUACUAACAAUGUCCUCAGAGCACAUGUCAUGUUGUUUAGUGGCGCACUAUUUUUCUUGUGGAAAAUGGCAUUUAUCAUUCCUUUGAACUGUAUAUUUGAUGUUACUGAUCUUUCAGAGGAAUAGAAUAAAUAUAUUUUAUUUUUU
rnacentral:misc_RNA from 1 species